CAAAGUGUUAUCACAGUAUAGGUAAGCCUAUGAGCUUUGGAGAAAUUUAUCUUGUUAGAUUUACUCUACUGUGUUCAGCAAAAAGGGUUGUGGAAGGGUUGCAGUUAGUAGAAGAUGGGAAAGAUGGGAAAAAGGUAUACCAUUAAAUCUGCGGUGGUGAACUCUUGGCUGUAUUUGAGGAGAAGUGAUUUUUACCACUCAGAAUCAUCUUUAGAAUAUGAUAUGCUAGGACUAUUAUCUUCAGGUCCAUAUUUUACAGAAUGCUGUCCUGAUGUGGGCCCAGAGAACUUACUCUGAGAAGGAAGCAAAAUUUGCUAGCAAAAUACUCAAUGCUCUUAGAAGAAAUGAUAAUGACAAAACCUUUGUGCAAGAGGCAAGGUAGUUGUGACUAUAUAUAUCUGCAUGACAAGAAUGAUGUCUACACUUAUUUAUUUUCAAUUAAUAAAUCAUUUUAGCUGCUUACCAACAAAGCAUGCCAGUUUCCAGUUUUUCCAUAGUUAUAGACUUUGCUUUAGUUAUUUUAUGUUAGCUAAUGAUUCUACUAUCAGAUUUGGUAUAUUUUGGAUGGUGAGAUCAAUUCUGUGCAGACUGUAAGAGAUUUUGUGAAAAUAUUGGGAUCAUACCAUGUAGACAACUUUAUAUACUGCUAUACAACAUCUUUUAUGAAAAUUUCUUCUGAUCGCCAAAAAUUCUCUGAAAACAAUUUGCACUGGCUGCCUACUCUUCCAUUGAUUGGAUACACCAUAAUAAAAACAUUCAUUCUUUUUCACAUGGUAAGUCAUUUAUUUAUAAUAGUUAAA
rnacentral:lncRNA from 1 species